UGAGAUGAAACGCCGUGGCAAAGACUGUCGUUUUGGUGUGAUUUCCAUGUGCAUAGGUUCUGGAAUGGGGGCUGCCGCGGUGUUUGAACGAGGGGAUGCUGUAGAUGACUUAUGCAAUGCCCGGGCCAACAAUAACAACAAUUUCUUGUCUAAGGAUGCUAAAUGAGCAUGCUUAUAAUAUCCAAAGUCUGCUUUUGUUUUGAGAUAGGAAUGUGAAAUGUACUACAUGUAGAAUAAAGAUGUCGGCGUUUAGCGAAAUUGAGAUUUACAUGUAUCAACUAUUGGAGUAACAAUGGAA
rnacentral:misc_RNA from 1 species